GUGUCAGCCGCCGCGGUAAGACGAACCGUGCGAACGUUGUUCGGAAUCACUGGGCUUAAAGGGCGCGUAGGCGGGCAACCAAGUCUGAGGUGAAAUCCUCCAGCUUAACUGGAGAAGUGCCCCGGAUACUGGUUGCCUCGAGGAUGGUAGGGGCAUCUGGAACUAGCGGUGGAGCGGUGAAAUGCGUUGAUAUCGCUAGGAACUCCGGUGGCGAAGGCGAGGUGCUGGACCAUUUCUGACGCUGAGGCGCGAAAGCCAGGGGAGCGAACGGGAUUAGAUACCCCCGUAGUCC
rnacentral:rRNA from 1 species